UACGUAGGGUGCAAGCGUUAAUCGGAAUUACUGGGCGUAAAGCGUGCGCAGGCGGUUUUGUAAGUCUGUCGUGAAAUCCCCGGGCUCAACCUGGGAAUUGCGAUGGAGACUGCAAGGCUAGAAUCUGGCAGAGGGGGGUAGAAUUCCACGUGUAGCAGUGAAAUGCGUAGAUAUCUGGAGGAAUAUUGGUGGCGAAGGUGGCAUUUUGGACCAAUAUUGAUACUGAGGAGCGAAAGCCAGGGGAGCAAACGGG
rnacentral:rRNA from 1 species